UUGUUCUCAUUUAUGACCUUAAAUUCUUCAGAGUGAAAAUGUGCUUUGGUUUUCAUAAACAGCUUGCAAAUACUUUAGUAUCAUAAUUUCUGAACAAAGUACUUGACAUUCCAAAAGCAUUUGAAAACCACAUCAAAACCGUACAAGUACACACACACAACCCUGUACUGCAAAUGCAAAGAGCUGCCGAACCUCCUGAAGGCGCAUUGUGUCAGUUGUGGAGAAUAUUUAAA